rnacentral:lncRNA from 1 species
GUGAGAGGGAGGGAGUGACAGUCAGGAAGUGAGAAACAGAUAGAUUCCCUGCUUUGCUGUGCUUGUAUAUGCCCAUGGGUGUUACCUGUCCUGAAUAAACAACCGUCCCCGCAGGGCCCUGGUGUUCCCCAUCCACCCACCCCACCUCAGCUCUCUGACUCAGGGGCUACAAGGCCUCCUGCUCCUGAGAGGAGAUGAAUACACUCAAUCAAACCAGUGCUCUCUGUCCUGGCCCUGUAUCAACCCGCUGAAGAAUGGCAGCAAAUCAGUAGUUUGAUUAUGUAAAGUAAAACCACAGGAGGGGCAUACAUGCUUGUUUAGUGUAUACAGGGAGGGAGAAAGAGAGAGAGAGAAAGAGAGAGAGAGAGAGAGAGAGAGCAGUGAGUAAAUGAACAGGUAUGCUACAUUACAUGAUGAUUCCUCUAGCAUGAGUAAUAGCCAGGACCAUGACUAACACUGCCAUUGAACAGUCCACAAAAUAAUUCUUAGCUGUGACUAAUGCUAAGCUGUGG